rnacentral:rRNA from 1 species
GUGAGUAACACGUGGGUAACCUGCCCAUAAGACUGGGAUAACUCCGGGAAACCGGGGCUAAUACCGGAUAACAUUUUGAACCGCAUGGUUCGAAAUUGAAAGGCGGCUUCGGCUGUCACUUAUGGAUGGACCCGCGUCGCAUUAGCUAGUUGGUGAGGUAACGGCUCACCAAGGCAACGAUGCGUAGCCGACCUGAGAGGGUGAUCGGCCACACUGGGACUGAGACACGGCCCAGACUCCUACGGGAGGCAGCAGUAGGGAAUCUUCCGCAAUGGACGAAAGUCUGACGGAGCAACGCCGCGUGAGUGAUGAAGGCUUUCGGGUCGUAAAACUCUGUUGUUAGGGAAGAACAAGUGCUAGUUGAAUAAGCUGGCACCUUGACGGUACCUAACCAGAAAGCCACGGCUAACUACGUGCCAGCAGCCGCGGUAAUACGUAGGUGGCAAGCGUUAUCCGGAAUUAUUGGGCGUAAAGCGCGCGCAGGUGGUUUCUUAAGUCUGAUGUGAAAGCCCACGGCUCAACCGUGGAGGGUCAUUGGAAACUGGGAGACUUGAGUGCAGAAGAGGAAAGUGGAAUUCCAUGUGUAGCGGUGAAAUGCGUAG